GAAACUUUCUGGCUACCGGAGCUGUAGGAAAAGUUCUUUAUCUAGAUCUCUGGAGGCAAAGCUGAUAUAUGACAGCUACUUUUGUUCUAAAAAUUAUGUAGGUGGCAUGUGAAGAGCCUUGUUUUCUAAGAAGUCUGUUCUGUGGACCAAUUUCGAAUAAUUUGUGGUACUUUUUCUAGUUUUGGAAGGAAAACGUCCCUCUACAUAGAACUGCUGGCAUGGAUGGCCCUUUGAUUUUGGCAUGAGCGAUCGUGCAGCAUGUUUGAAGAGAACCUGUUCUCUCAUAUUUCCUUAACUAAAGAUGGCCUCUUUAGCAAGUUAGAGCUUUUUCAGUCUUAAGCAGUGCCUUUUUGCCCGCUUAGUUGAUGACUGAAAGGAAGAGAGAAUUUGAUCACUGAAUUUUCUGACCUGUCAUUGUGGAGCCGACCAAGUAGUGUUGCAACAAGGCUGAAAAUCGGAUUAGCUGCAUUUAGAAGAGAAACUUAAACCACUCCAGGUAAAAUAACCUUGUAAAGAAAAAAGUAAGAGUAUUUCAGAGGCCUUGGCUAGGUUCAUGAUGAUACAGGACCUUGUCUGAACAAAGUGAUUUCAAAAUUUGAGCUUAAAAUGACACCCUGAAAUCCAGUCAAUGUGCCUCAUUACUUUUCAGAGAACAUUAUUCUUGAGAGAAUGUUGGCUUGACAUGUGAAAACUUUGAAUACUUAGAAAUGGCAGGUGUAGUAGUACACUUUGCCAGUUACUCAGUUACCCUUUUUUAUUUUCAUAGAUAUUCUGGGAUAAUUCCUUUUUUUUUUUUUUUUUUUACUGUAUAUAUGUGCAUGCUGAUGAAAGCAAAAAAGAAAGCACAUCCUUGGAUCUGAGAAGGCACGCGUGUGGUGAGAUGGAAGGAAGGACACGCAAAAAGGAAAUUUAGCACCUCUUGGAUCAAACCUUGAAUGCCACAGUGCUAGGUGUUUAACUGAUGUCCAGGAAGGAGAGAAACUAAUAUUAUGAUGAAAUACAAUGAAUGUGUUGGAUAUGGUGGAAGAAAAACAUUUGCAGAUAAUCUGAGUACAGCUGUGACAUCAUCAGGAACAUUCCUCUUUUAUGGAGUUCCUUAAUUCAUAAGUCUUAACCGUGAAUCAAAGGAGAUGAUAAUUCCGAGAAAAGAUACUUUACCAAGUUCAUUUUUAAUCCCAAGAAUCGGUGCCACUGGAUCUCUAUUGCAAUAUUCCUCAUUCAGGUGUUCGUCACUGCCAUCUCUGGUCCUAGGAGUACCCCUUGGCGAUAUGAUUAUUCUGUGGGUGAAGAUUUCUGACAGUGCCAGAAUGUAUAUAGGAUCAACUGGGAAGGACCCAGUGGUUGAGAGAGAUUCAGACAUCUACUACUUCAUUCGCAUAUCUGGCACUUGGUUUGUGGUGAUGUGGAAGGCUGGGCUUACUGGAGGCUUUCAACUAGAGUACUUUCACACAGCCAGGUUCACAGAGGAAGCAUCGUAAGAAUGAGUGUUAGAAGAGAGCCUUGUGAAAGUGGUGUGGCCUUUCUGAUAGCUUCAGAAGUCAUGUAGCAUCACUUCCGCCAUAUUCUGUUGGCCAGCAGUGUCAUAUGACCAGCCCAAAUUCCAGCAGAGAUUCCAUCUUAUAGUGAGAGAGUGCCAAGGUAA
ensembl:lncRNA